AAAGCGUCUUUGGUGGUGAAGCAAAAGCCCCAAUUUAAGGUUGCGCUAAAAUAUGAAAGUUUACUCAUCCUGUUGUGUAAUACAUUGUACUUGAUUAACACCUGUGAUCUAGACACGAUUCUAGGCGUUCUAUUUUUAGAACGACAUUUAUCAAAGUUGAAUAGAAAGAUGACGUAAUAAGUGUUUUACCUUCACACUGUAUGUUUCUGAAGAAAAAAUUCUCUUGGAAUCUAUUUUAGUAUAAGUAGACUGUAAAUUGUGACAAUAAGCACCCUACAGAAUUAGGUUUACAUCUGGGGAUUGGAUUGGACUUAACAGCAGAAUUGUGGACUCGAUAAGUAAAGCUCAAUAAAACUUCCAUUCCUAAACAACAAGCUCCAACAGUUAAGAUCAAGAGAAAUGACAAAAGAAAAAAAUUACAAGUAUGAAGCGGGUCUAUACCUGAAAUGCCAGACAGAAAACUGGAUUCCUCUGUCCCAGUCACCAUUGCACAAAGGUUGAAGGUUAAUCUCAAAUGGUCGCCAUCUACAAAAUAUCCGCUCACAUUAAAAGUUACAACUUUUCAUA